GACGAACGCUGGCGGCGUGCUUAACACAUGCAAGUCGAACGGAAAGGCCCUGCUUUUGUGGGGUGCUCGAGUGGCGAGCGGGUGAGUAACACGUGAGUAACCUGCCCUUGACUUUGGGAUAACUUCAGGAAACUGGGGCUAAUACCGGAUAGGAGCUCCUGCUGCAUGGUGGGGGUUGGAAAGUUUCGGCGGUUGGGGAUGGACUCGCGGCUUAUCAGCUUGUUGGUGGGGUAGUGGCUUACCAAGGCUUUGACGGGUAGCCGGCCUGAGAGGGUGACCGGCCACAUUGGGACUGAGAUACGGCCCAGACUCCUACGGGAGGCAGCAGUGGGGAAUAUUGCACAAUGGGCGGAAGCCUGAUGCAGCAACGCCGCGUGCGGGAUGACGGCCUUCGGGUUGUAAACCGCUUUCGCCUGUGACGAAGCGUGAGUGACGGUAAUGGGUAAAGAAGCACCGGCUAACUACGUGCCAGCAGCCGCGGUGAUACGUAGGGUGCGAGCGUUGUCCGGAUUUAUUGGGCGUAAAGGGCUCGUAGGUGGUUGAUCGCGUCGGAAGUGUAAUCUUGGGGCUUAACCCUGAGCGUGCUUUCGAUACGGGUUGACUUGAGGAAGGUAGGGGAGAAUGGAAUUCCUGGUGGAGCGGUGGAAUGCGCAGGUAUCAGGAGGAACACCAGUGGCGAAGGCGGUUCUCUGGGCCUUUCCUGACGCUGAGGAGCGAAAGCGUGGGGAGCGAACAGGCUUAGAUACCCUGGUAGUCCACGCUGUAAACGGUGGGUACUAGGUGUGGGGUCCAUUCCACGGGUUCCGUGCCGUAGCUAACGCUUUAAGUACCCCGCCUGGGGAGUACGGCCGCAAGGCUAAAACUCAAAGGAAUUGACGGGGCCCCGCACAAGCGGCGGAGCAUGCGGAUUAAUUCGAUGCAACGCGUAGAACCUUACCUGGGUUUGACAUGGAUCGGGAGCGCUCAGAGAUGGGUGUGCCUCUUUUGGGGUCGGUUCACAGGUGGUGCAUGGCUGUCGUCAGCUCGUGUCGUGAGAUGUUGGGUUAAGUCCCGCAACGAGCGCAACCCUUGUUCACUGUUGCCAGCACGUUAUGGUGGGGACUCAGUGGAGACCGCCGGGGUCAACUCGGAGGAAGGUGGGGAUGACGUCAAGUCAUCAUGCCCCUUAUGUCCAGGGCUUCACGCAUGCUACAAUGGCUGGUACAGAGAGUGGCGAGCCUGUGAGGGUGAGCGAAUCUCGGAAAGCCGGUCUCAGUUCGGAUUGGGGUCUGCAACUCGACCUCAUGAAGUCGGAGUCGCUAGUAAUCGCAGAUCAGCAACGCUGCGGUGAAUACGUUCCCGGGGCU
rnacentral:rRNA from 1 species